rnacentral:rRNA from 1 species
ACUCAAAUGAAUUGACGGGGGCCCGCACAAGCGGUGGAGCAUGUUGUUUAAUACGUCACUAACCGUAGAACCUUACCAGGGUUUGACAUGUGCUGCCUAUCUAUGAAAGUAGGUUCUGGAGCAAUCCAGCAGCAACACAGGUGUUGCAUGGCUGUCGUCAGCUCGUGUCGUGAGAUGUUGGGUUAAGUCCCGCAACGAGCGCAACCCUCAUCCCCUGUUGCCAGCGCGUUAGGGCGGGAACUCUGGGGAAACUGCCGGGGUAACUCGGAGGAAGGUGAGGAUGACGUCAAGUCAGCAUGGCCCUUACAUCCUGGGCUACAAACAUGCUACAAUGGACGCUACACAGACCGCUCCGACUUCGCAAGAAGAAGGCAAUCGGCAAAAUGCGUUCUCAGUUCGGAUCGCAGGCUGCAACUCGCCUGCGUGAAGCCGGAAUCGCUAGUAACCGCAGAUCAGCUAAGCUGCGGUGAAUACGUUCCCGGGCCUUGUACACACCGCCCGU